UAGAGUCCUUGUACGAUGACUUUCAGAUUUUGAGGGUGUAAUAGUUAAGACUCACUAUAUUAAUUAUUAUUUAUGACUUGGUCAGACUAUUUGUUCAUUCACGUAUUUAUUGAUUGUUAGAGUACAAAUGAUUAAAGAAGUUGAAAUUGGCUAGUAAUUAAUGGGUUAACGGGUAAGGGUUCGCCUGCUAGUGUUAAUAAGGUAGGUACCCGCACGAUCGGUAAUUUGGAUCGUGACAUCAGUAUAACCAAUCUGAACCAGUAUAUUACAAUCAUAUCACAGGAAACCAAAAGGUACAAUGCAAUGCAAUGCAAUAAUGCAUGAAUGAUGAAUACAAGGCAUAUGCACCGUACACAUCCACUCCGAUCGAUGGAAUAUCACAUCUCGGUAGCACAAUCCAUGGGAGACCCACAAAGUCCAUGCACUACUCGUCCCGGCAAUGACCUCGGUGACGAGCACUUUCUCGAUUCCAGAAAGAGACCUCGAGCAUCGAUUACCCAUUCGUUCCCGGCAAGAGACCUCGGGCAACGUACACUCAUUCCACUCCGAUAAAUGACAUCGGAUUAUGGUCUCUCAUCUCUCUUUUACGCUCUCCGGCAAAGACCUCGGAGGCUACACUCUAUCACUUAUCAUCAUCAGUACCAAUGUUUUCAGGGGCGUUUUUGGGGCAAGGGCGGGGCGGGGCGUGGAAAAAAGCCUCUGGUCAUUUUCAAAAGGCGAAGAUCCUGUGGGCGUACACCUUAAAAUUCAAGGCAACCGCCCGGGCGUAAAACUUGCCCCAAGACUAAGGCUUACGCCCAAUGGAACUAAACAAAUUAAGGGAAAAUUUACCAUUUAUCUUUUAUAUUUUAAUGGCUUUGACCGGUUAUCUUCUAAAGCUCUUUUUUAUUCCACUUUUCUAUACCCAAAUCCCCAAACUUCUUUUGUCAAUGUCACGUAGCAACUCCACCAGAGAGUCAAGAACUCCAUUUUCAUCUUGAUUCUUGAUCAGUUGACAAUGGAUGAAGAUGAGGUUCCCAAAAAAGUGAGCAGAAAGGAUUUUGCAUGGAAAUAUGCAAUUAAGACCCCAGGUGAGAAGUACUUCAAAUGCAAGUUCUGUGAUCAACAAUGUAUCCGCACAAUCAAUAGAUUGAAGCAACAUUUAUCAGGCACUCAUUUAGGAAUGACGCCUUGUCUUAAGGUACCAGAUGAAGUAAGUGAAGAAUGCAAGAAAUCAUUACAAAAGCUUAAAACUGCAAAAGCCAUGCCAACUGCUACUUUGGAAGAAAUGCGAGUGGCUGCAUCUGGAAAUGUUAAUAUGUCUAGUGAAGUUAGUUCAUCUCCAACUAUGGCCAAUUUAAAUCCAAAGGCUAGAGGUCCAUUGGAUGAUUUUGUUAGUGCUCAAGCAAGGCAAGCUACUUCGAACUCCAAAUGGAAAAAGGAGGAAAGGAAAGAAGUUUGUCAACGAAUUGGUAGAUUCUUCUUCUCAAGUGGUAUACCGUUUAACAUCGCAAAUGAUCCAUAUUAUUUGCCUAUGUUCGAAGGCGUUGCAAAUUAUGGUCUGGGUUUUGUGCCUCCCUCAAUGCAUGAGUUGAGAACUUGGAUACUAAAAGAAGAAGUUACAAAUAUUCACAAGAUGUUAGAUGAGCAUAAGAAAUCUUGGAAGCAUAUGGUUGUUCAAUUAUGUCGGAUAGUUGGUCGGAUGGAAAAAGUAGAUGCUUUGUCAACUUUCUGAUUAAUAGUCCUGCAGGUACUUUCUUUCUCAAAUCUAUUGAUGCUCUGAUUCUAUUAAAAGUGGUGAAAUGCUUGCAUUACAUUUAAAUAAAGUCAUAGAUGAAGUUGGAGAAGAAAAUGUUGUUCAGAUAAUAACCGAUAAUGGUUUGAAUUAUGUGAGUCUUUGGAAAAAGAAUACUGGAAACAAGGCCUCAUAUUUAUUGGACUCCAUGUGCAGCACAUUGCAUUGAUCUUUUGUUAUAAGAUAUAGGAAAAAUGAAAAUUCAUGCAGAUACACUUACAAAAGAAAAAGGAGUGGUGAGAUUUAUUUAUGGACGUACAUGGGUGUUAGAUUUAAUGAGGUCAUUCACAAAUAACCAUGAGCUCCUUCGCUUCGCUGUUACUCGCUUUGCUACAACAUAUUUUACACUUCAAAGCAUUCAAAAGCAAAAUCAAGCCCUUAAAAAUAUGUUUUCUUCCGAAGCUUGGAAUAAAUGUUCUUGGGCUAAGAAAUAGGAGGGGGUGAAAACUAGAUCCACCGUUCUCUUUGAUCCAAACUUUUGGCCUUAUAUUGCUUAUUGUGUGAAGAGUGUUGCUCUUUUAGUGUCUAUUUUGAGAGAAUAGAUUCGGAGGAAAAACCAUGUAUGGGAUACUUGUAUGAUUUGAUGAAUAUGUCCAAGGAAAAAAUAGCUAUGGAUUGUGGCUAUAAUGAAAAAAAGUAUGGUCCCAUACGGAAAAGAAUUGAUGAUAGAUGGAUUAAACAACUCCAUCGUCCACUUCAUUCUACUGGUUACUAUUUAAAUCCACAAUUGCGAUUUGAGGAAAGGUUUUCGAGUAAUUUUGAAAUAAAAAAAAGGUUUGUACGAAUGUUGGAUUAUGAAGAGAGAUUUAAAGUGGAUGUUCAGUUAGAUUCAUGUGACCACUUGAGAGGGCAGUUUGGAAGUCAAAUAGAUAUGGAUUCUAGAAAAGUAAGAUCUCCUGCGGAUUGGUGGAUGCGAUUUGGGGGUCAAACUCCAGAAUUGACUAAAUUUGCAAUUCGUGUACUGAAUCUCACUUGCAGUUCUUCAAGUUGUGAACGAAAUUGGAGUACCUUCGAGUCGGCAAAAAAUUCUUACCAAAAAGAGAAAUAGACUUGAGCAUGAGAGGUUAAAUGCUUUAGUUUAUGUAAGAUACAAUACUAGACUAAGAGAGAGGAGCAUCAAAAGAAAAUUUCAAAGUACCAAUCCAGUUCUAGUUGGUGAAGUUGAUUACGAUGAUGAAUGGAUUCGAAAAAGAAGAUCGAUUAGCUUACGAAGAUUCUUCCUAGCUUGAUGAAGAGAACUUGUUUGAUGUUGACGUCAUUAGAACGGUGUAUAUCAAAGUGAACUUACACAUGAAUCUAUCAUUGAUGUUGGCACUGUAAGAUAUACAAGUGAAUUAGGUCCUUCUAGUAAAAAACAAAAGGCAUCAGUGCAACUCGAGGAUGGGGAAGGACUGGAAGAUGUGGAUAUUGAUGAUGAUCUCACCCUGAUAGUGUUUGGUCUGGUGUACUAAGAAACUUUUUUGGCUUAAAAAGCAACUGAAAAUUUGAACUUUGAAGCAAACAUGUGAAUAAUAUAUUUUGAAAUAUAGGUACAUUGAGAACAACUUUUGCUGUUGGUAAAUAUCUCA